GGCUGUCUCUCCCGAUCUGAAACCCCAAUUAUACCUGUGAAGGCAUGGCAUUCUGGAACACCCCAUUUCAAAAGGAGAAAUUAUAUUUGUAAAAAUUUUCAGAACCCCUACAGACCAUAACAAAGAGUAAUGUCUUGAAAACAGGCUGAGUUUAGUUGAUUUGUAAUCAAAGUUUAACCUCUUUUAGGACCCCAUCACAUUUGGCUGCCAUAUCUCCUUGGACUCCUCUUGGCUGUGACAGGGUCUCAGACGGCCCUUGCCGUUGAUGACCUUGAUGGUUUGAAGAGCCCUAAUCAGUGGUGGCUGUAGUCGGCUGGCUGAGGUCUCCCCACUGUGAAGUCCCCCUCUCCAUGCUGUACUCUCUGGAAGGACGUCGCCAUGCACAGCCGACACUUAGGGGUAUGGGUUGUGCUCCACUUCCGAGGAGGAGAAGUAGCUACAUGAGUGACUGGGAAAUGUCCUGGGGGGGAUACUCAUCCAUGCCUCCACAUUACUUAUGUACUCAAUCUUUUAUUUAUAUUGCUAUGGACUCAUGGAUACUCAGCCCAUGCUCGGGCUGGACUCCAGUGUGACUUUGCUUCUUUUCCUGCUCAGCUUCUUCGAGGUUGGCCUUGGUGAGCUCCCGUGGUGGGUUCCCAGCUCCUGUGUGCCUCUGACAGGUGCUCAUCACUUGGCUUUUUGGGCAUCUCCUUAAUUUCUGCUACUAAAGAUGCUCCUGGCUUAUCUUCUGCAUGUCCUGCCUUUGCCCUUGAAUCAGUCAAUUCUCCAAGAAGCUCUGGCUCCUUUCCUAGAACAGUGUUAGAAACCAAGAUCUGGGCACUGGUGUGUUCAUUGCUAGUGAGGUGUUGUUGCUUCUAGACUCUCUCAGCUGAUAGAGCAAGGGAAUGUUUAAGCCAUUUAGAACAUAAAUGCAUUCAUUUAAAAACAUGGACUAUGUAUUCACUGUGCCUUGGGCCCCAAGCUGGGUGUUGAGGAUCUUGAGAAAAUAAAUCAAGGAAGCCCAUGGUCUAGGGUAGUGCUGGUGAGGAGAUAACAGACUCUUGAGAUGGCACUAGGGCCAUGGCGGAGACAGACCUGGACACUAGUGGGACCCAGCAAAGACCCACAGCAGCCUGGGGAGGCGGCUUCCAGAGUGCUGCGACUUUGGAACAUGAAUACUCCUGAGGGUUCACAAACGAGCCUGG
rnacentral:lncRNA from 1 species